GAUCUUUUAGAAUAUUAAAAACCAUUUGAAUGCUCGAAGGUUCAACGCUAGUGUUGUUACUAUUAUGUCACAAUUGAAUACAUUUAAAAAGAAAUAAAGUUCAUAAUAUCUGAGUUGGAACUUCUCGUUGCUAUAAAAGAGUGUUUUCUGUAAUAAAUAAGGUGUGGUCAGAUGAGCGGGGCAGUAUACUAGAAUCUACUACGAAAAGCGUUCUGAUGACUAAACGAAACAUCUCAUUAAGCAGCUGAGAAUUUCAUUUGGUAAAGCCAAAUAUAGUAAUGAGUGUUUUUUCCUUUUUUUUUAGAAAGUUUCAAGUGGAAAAUAUAAAUAAAAUACUUCUCAUUAUAUAAAGUAUUACUCGACAUUUACCAUGUAUACUUAGUUUGAUUUACUUAUAAAUGUUACUGGUCUACUUGACAAUAUUGUGCUGUUAUGAAAACAAAAGUUGCUUUGCACAUCUAUUUCUGUUCACUUUAUCUCUCUCUUUGUCCCUUACCCUGACUCUUAAUCUUGUACAUGAUAAAGACAUCAUACGUCUUGACAGAUCGAAAUUGUUGGACAAUGUAGACAAUAAAGAUUUGAAUUGAUCAAGUCAUUCAUUGUGGAAUUCCUGCUAAGAAUGUGGCAAAUAUCAGACGACAUUAACCCUUAAACGGCUGACAUCAUUAACCGAUGGAUUUUUCAUUAGACAAACAGCAGACCUCAUCAACUGAUGUUUCAAAAAUUUUACUUAGGUCCAGUCAUCAUCAAUUGGCUCUCGAGUGCCCGACUUCCUUAAAUACACCUACGCAUAAGCAGCCCUUAUCUGUGGGAGAAAUUAAGUUGCAAAUGAAAUAUUUAUGCAGCGAUGACGACUAUUUAUUUCCUCAUUUUCCUUCGUCAUCAGAUGAAGUAGACGAUACUUAUGAUGUUCGAGAUAGUUUAGAAGAAAGUUCUGUAUGAAAAAAGUACAUAAAUUUUUCUCCAUUUGUACAUUCGUUUGACAACACUGCAGAAAUUUCAAUUGCGUGCCUUAAUUUUUAUUAUCUAAGAGAAUUAAGAUAUUUUCAUUGUGUUUGUACUUAUUUAAAGUGAAAAUAUGAGUAAAAACGAUCCAUUUUUGUUUUUUGCUCGUUUGGCACACUUAUUCACGUAACCUUCUCCCACUAUUCAAGGGUUAAGAGACUCUCCAUAGUUAAACAUAGUUAGACAGGCAAAUUAAGUCGGUGUUGAGCUACUGAAGGCUAGUUUCGAAAAACCAAAAAGAUUUCCCAGGGCAAGUAAUGAAAAUAAAGGAAAUAUUCAUGCCAAUCACGAAGUUUCAAAACAUAUGGAAUGUUUGUCAAAAAGAAUAUUUACCGACAUUGUUUGUUGCGAAAGGAAAUUUAUAUUUGCUUAUAUCAGCUUGUUUGUAAUAGAGUUCAAAUGAUGAGUAGAAGAAAUCUCCAUAGAUGUUGAAACUUAUUUAAGGGAUACUUGCAGUUAAUCGAAAUUUUUUUUUCACUAGCGCUUAACGAGAGCAAAAGACUUGAGAAAUAUUGCUUAAUAUGGAAUUAUGCAGGAGCGACCAUUAGAUUAAAAAAUGUUUGAAGAUUUAUUGAAAAAGGCUGAAAUGGAAGUUUAUGUACCAAAGCUAAGAGGCAUCUCAACUGAUGGGGCAUCGAUAAUUGUGGCAAAGAAGAAAGACAUCAUGACAUUGCUGCAAGGAUAAAUGGUAAACCUCGAAACCGCGCCCAAGCUUCCUGAACUUCAAUUAUCAAUCAAAAGUUAUGUGUCAAGUCUUUGAAAUCAAGGAAUAUCAUGAACAUUGUUGAGAAAAUAAUGACAAUCCUCUCUCAUCAAUUAAAUCGUGAUCAAAUUUAGAAGUUUUUGUUGGAAACAGAAUAUGGAAACCGGGCUUAUUUCUGCAAUAUGCGAUAACUUAACCGAAGGUCAAGUAGGGGAAUGGGUAUUUGCGUUACACAAAGAAGUGGCAGUAAAACUUGCAAAGCUAAAAUGCGGAUACUCUGAAAGGGCUAAAGACAGAUACCUUCCUUUUUGGCCGAGACUUCAUCAACUUCUUCAAAUUCUACUUAGGGAAAUAUUGCCUUCCAGCAAUUUGUUGAAAGGUGGGUGAAUGUGGCAAAAAUGGUCCGAGUGAACAGGCCUGCUCUGAGCAUGCGACUAUAGAUUGAGGGAAGAGGACGAAGGGAGGGAACUUGUCUUUGUGCUCAGAGUGACAGUGGUUUUGUCAAAUUUCCUUGAGCAGCCUUCGGAAAUCUCUCUUUUUUAAGGAAAGUUUUUCUGCUCUGAAUUUUUUGUUUCUUUUUUUUUUGUUACUUUACUAUUUACAGGCUUUUAUGUAACUCCACAUUGCAGCGUCUUUGUACCGUCCUCGCCCAUUUUGCAAACCUUUGGGUGUUAAUGAAGUCACUGUUGGAAUCGAACAAACUACUGCUCUGUUACAAUAUAAAGAUAGAAGCUGAACACAAUGUAGAAUUAAACACAAUAUUGUUUACAGACGGAUUAACAAAAUUAAGUUGAUUUUGCAAUGAAGCACAAAACAAUGUCAGUAAAAGAUUUCAAUAAUGAACUUUUCUCUAAGUUGGAAAUAUCAAAUCGACUGUUUACUAUGAACUCUGCAGAGUUAAUAGCCAAGUAUAUCGAGGUCAAACACCGCCACCACCUACAUGUCUACUGUUGAUUGAAAAUGUUAAUAGCGUAAAGCAGCAGCCGUUUUAACUGAAAGAUACUAUUACAAAUAUUUUACGAAUAAUAGUUGUUUUAUCGUUCA